rnacentral:rRNA from 1 species
UACGGGGGGAGCAAGCGUUGUUCGGAUUUACUGGGCGUAAAGGGCGCGUAGGCGGUCAGCACAAGUCAGUUGUGAAAUCUCCGGGCUUAACUCGGAAAGGUCAACUGAUACUGUGCGACUAGAGUGCGGAAGGGGCAACUGGAAUUCUUGGUGUAGCGGUGAAAUGCGUAGAUAUCUGGAGGAACACCGGUGGCGAAGGCGGGAUCCUGGGCCAGUACUGACGCUGAGGAGCGAAAGCGUGGGGAGCAAACAGG